CAAGUGACCCCGGUCUAACCACCGGAUGUUCAUAACCCUUUGUUGUCCGACUCUGUUGCCUCCGGGGCGACCCUGCCUUCGGGCGGGGGCUCCGGGUGGACACUUCAAACUCUUGCGUAACUUUGCAGUCUGAGUAAACUUAAUUAAUAAAUUA
rnacentral:misc_RNA from 1 species